rnacentral:lncRNA from 1 species
CAUUUCCUGAGCCUUGUGGUUGGAUGAAUGCAAACUUUCAACUAUUUCUAAUUCUUCUCUGACAUUUAAGAGGCUUUCAAUGUGCACUGUACAUCUCAGAUCAGCUCUUACUCAGAGAGGAAAUUUGAUCUGCUAUAACACGGAAACAUCAGCAGUGACCAUGGCGGGACAAAUUCCUUAGGGAGCUGCCUAUUUUCAAGCCAAGUGUUCAUGAUAUGAUCAAGCUAGCUUACAGAGAA